AGGGGCUUAGGAUAAUAUCAGACCAAGGGCCUUCAAAGCCCUAAGCGAGGGUGAGAGCCCCUCAGCCCCUA
rnacentral:tRNA from 1 species